AGGGUUUGAUCCUGGCUCAGAGUGAACGCUGGCGGCGUGGUUUAGGCAUGCAAGUCGAGCGCGAAAGUACCUUCGGGUGCGAGUAGAGCGGCGUAAGGGUGAGUAAUGUAUAGGCAACGUACCCCCCGGAUCGGGAUAGCUGCGGGAAACUGCAGGUAAUACCGGAUGGUCAAGCGAUGCGGCAUCGUGACGCUUGUAAAUGGUUGGAUACUUCUGUCGGGGGAGCGGCCUAUGCCCUAUUAGCUUGUUGGUGAGGUAACGGCUCACCAAGGCAACGAUGGGUAGCCGGACUGAGAGGUUGGCCGGUCACACUGGGACUGAGACACUGCCCAGACUCCUACGGGAGGCUGCAGUCGAGAAUCUUCCGCAAUGGACGCAAGUCUGACGGGGCGACGCCGCGUGUAGGAUGAAGGCCUUCGGGUUGUAAACUACUGUUGCGUACUAGGAAUGGCGUGGCGUUAAUAGCGUUACGUCUGACCAUUACGUGAGGAAGCACUGGCUAACUCCGUGCCAGCAGCCGCGGUAAUACGGAGAGUGCAAGCGUUACUCGGAAUCUCUGGGCUUAAGGAGCACGUAGGCGGGUCCAAUAGUCGGUUGUGAAAGCCCCCGGCCCAACCGGGGAAUUGCAGCCGAAACUGUGGAUCUUGUGGACAAGAGGGGAGAGCGGAACUUCUGGUGGAGCGGUGAAAUGCGUAGAUAUCAGAAGGAACAUCGGUGGCGAAAGCGGCUCUCUGGCUUGUCUCUGACGCUGAGGUGCGAAAGCCAGGGUAGCGAACGGGAUUAGAUACCCCGGUAGUCCUGGCCCUAAACGAUGGGCACUAGGUAGGGGGGUCUCCAUGGCCUCCCUGCUGGAGCAAAAGUUUUAAGUGCCCCGCCUGGGGAGUACAGUCGCAAGGCCGAAACUCAAAGGAAUUGACGGGGGCUCACACAAGCGGUGGAGCAUGUGGUUUAAUUCGAAACAACGCGCAAAACCUUACCUGGGUUUGACAUACACGGAUUAGUCCGCUGAAAGGUGGAUGACGCUCGCAAGAGUGGAACGUGAACAGGUGCUGCAUGGCUGUCGUCAGCUCGUGUCGUGAGAUGUCGGGUUAAGUCCCUUAACGAGCGAAACCCUUGCCGUUAGUUGCCAGCGGGUCAUGCCGGGGACUCUAGCGGGACUGCCGUGGUCAACACGGAGGAAGGUGGGGAUGACGUCAAGUCCUCAUGGCCUUUAUGCCCAGGGCUACACACGUGCUACGAUGGUCUGGACAGAGCGAAGCGAACUCGCGAGGGCAAGCCAAUCGCACAAACCAGACCUCAGUUCGGAUUGUAGGCUGCAAUUCGCCUGCAUGAAGUUGGAAUCGCUAGUAAUCGCGUAUCAGCAUUGACGCGGUGAAUAUGUUCCUGAGCCUUGUACACACCGCCCGUCAAGCCACGGGAGCCGGUAGUGCCCGAAGUCGUUGACCCAACCCUCGGGAGGGAGGCGCCGACGGUAAGAUCGGUAACUGGGACUAAGUCGUAACAAGGUA
rnacentral:rRNA from 1 species